GUCAAUGGAAGCCAGGUUCUUUCGGUUUCUGAAGAUCGUGGGAGUCGGGUUCAAAGCCAGAUCUGAAGCCGAAGGCCGUAAGCUGCUUCUGAAACUGGGCUACAGUCAUGAGGUGCUAUUUGACGUUCCUCCCGCCGUCCGAGUGUUCUGUUUCAAACCAAACAUAGUCUGCUGCACGGGGAUAGACAAGCAGAGGGUGCAUCAGUUUGCGGCUGCUG
rnacentral:misc_RNA from 1 species